rnacentral:rRNA from 1 species
GACAGAGGGGGCAAGCGUUAUCCGGAAUUAUUGGGCGUAAAGGGUACGUAGGCGGCUGGUCAAGUCUGGGGUCAAAGGCCACAGCUCAACUGUGGGAAGGCCCUGGAAACUGGCCGGCUAGAGUGAGGUAGGGGUUGCGGGAAUUCCCGGUGUAGCGGUGAAAUGCGUAGAGAUCGGGAAGAACACCUGAGGCGGAAGCGCGCAACUGGGCCUCAACUGACGCUGAGGUACGAAAGCUAGGGGAGCGAAUGGG